CCUACGGGUGGCAGCAGUAAGGAAUAUUGCUCAAUGGGGGAAACCCUGAAGCAGCAACGCCGCGUGGAGGAUGAAGGUUUUCGGAUUGUAAACUCCUUUUGUUAGAGAAGAUAAUGACGGUAUCUAACGAAUAAGCACCGGCUAACUCCGUGCCAGCAGCCGCGGUAAUACGGAGGGUGCAAGCGUUAUUCGGAAUCACUGGGCGUAAAGAGCGCGUAGGCGGGAUAGCAAGUCAGAUGUGAAAUCCUAGGGCUUAACCAUAGAACUGCAUUUGAAACUGUUAUUCUAGAGUAUGGGAGAGGUAGGUGGAAUUCUUGGUGUAGGAGUAAAAUCCGUAGAGAUCAAGAGGAAUACUCAUUGCGAAGGCGACCUGCUAGAACAUAACUGACGCUGAUGCGCGAAAGCGUGGGGAGCAAACAGGAUUAGAUACCCGGGUAGUC
rnacentral:rRNA from 1 species